AUUUUCGGAACCGGCAAACUCAGGGCUCACCCUAUCAAACGGUCAAAAGUCAAAACCUCCCUCCAAAAUCCAAAAAUCCUAAUCAGAAAAGGUUCAAUCCCCUCCAAAUCAUAAACCCUAGCAAUCUCUCCAAACUCAAUUUCAAGUAAAUUUCAACGAAACAAAGCUUUUAGUAACCAGAAACCCUAAAUUGAAUCGUCCCGGAAAGGCUCGCGAAGAUGGGGAAGAAACAGCACAGCAAAGAUCGGAUGUUCAUAACGAAGACAGAGUGGGCCACCGAGUGGGGCGGCUCUAAAUCCAAAGAAAACGGCACCCCUUUCAAACGGCUCCCCUUCUAUUGCUGCGCUCUUACAUUUACGCCGUUUGAGGCGCCGGUUUGCACGAAGGAUGGCAGUAUCUUCGAAAUAAUGAAUAUAAUUCCUUAUAUUAGGAAGUACGGGAAGAACCCGGUAACCGGGGCUCCAUUGAAGCAAGAGGAACUUAUCCCUCUUACUUUCCACAAGAAUUCUGAAGGAGAGUAUCAUUGCCCUGUGCUGAACAAAGAUUUUACUGAGUACACACACAUAGUUGCUGUGAAGACUACGGGAAAUGUGUUCUGUUAUGAGGCAAUUAAAGAAUUAAACAUCAAGACCAAAAACUGGAAAGAGCUUCUUACAGAUGAGCCUUUCGCUAAGGAAGAUAUUAUUACAAUUCAGAAUCCUAACGCACUUGACAGCAAGGUUACCCUGGAUUUUGAUCAUGUCAAAAAUUGUUUGAAGGUUGAUGAUGAAGAACUAAAGAAAAUGAGUUCAGAUCCAACUUAUAACAUCAAUGUCGCUGGGGACGUCAAGCAGAUGCUGGCAGAGCUUGGAACUGAGAAAGCAAGGGAAACUGCUAUGCUUGGUGGGGGUGGCAGCAAGGCUCAAAAUGAGAGGGCUGCUGCUCUUGCUGCCAUUUUAGCUGCACGGUCUCGCAUCAAAGAGGAUUCAAAGUUAGAUGCAAAUGGGGAGAGUAAAACUCAACCUGCGUAUAGUAUUGUAGAUGCUGCAUCUGCUUCAGUACAUGGAAGAAGUGCUGCUGCAGCAAAAGCCGCAUCAAGUGAUAAAACUGCUGCCCGGAUUGCUAUGCAUAUGGCAGGAGAGAGGGCACCUGUGAAUGCUAAGCUGGUGAAGAGCCGUUUUACUACUGGUGCUGCUUCACGAUCCUUUACAUCUACCUCUUAUGACCCUGUCACCAAAAAUGAAUUUGAAUAUGUUCAAGUUGAGAAAAAUCCCAAAAAGAAAGGUUACGUUCAGUUGCAUACGACACAUGGUGAUUUGAACAUUGAGCUGCACUGUGAUAUAACUCCAAGGACAUGUGAGAACUUCAUCACUCUUUGUGAACGUGGUUAUUACAAUGGAGUGGCCUUCCAUAGAAACAUUCGGAAUUUUAUGAUUCAAGGUGGUGAUCCAACUGGUACUGGGAGAGGAGGUGAAUCAAUAUGGGGAAAGCCUUUUAAAGAUGAAGUGAACUCUAAGUUGCUUCACUCAGGAAGAGGUGUAGUUAGUAUGGCAAACAGUGGCCCCCACACAAAUGGUUCCCAGUUUUUCAUCCUAUACAAGUCUGCAAAUCAUUUAAACUUCAAACAUACGGUUUUUGGUGGAGUUGUUGGUGGCUUGACCACACUAUCAGCUAUGGAGAAGGUUCCUGUUGAUGACAAUGACCGACCUCUGGAGGAGAUUAAAAUAAUUAGUGUCACGGUAUUUAUCAAUCCAUACAUGGAGCCUGACGAAGAAGAGGAAGAGAAGGGCAGAGGUGAAAAGAAAGUUGAGGAUGAAGAAAAUGAUAAGGUUGGGUCUUGGUAUAGCAAUCCAGGUACAGGAACAGCAGAAUCUGGAGCUGUGGGUGGGGGUGGUGUUGGAAAGUACUUAAAAGCAAGGAAUACUCCAAGUGAGUCUGCUACUGUGGAUACCCGUCUAGCAGCAAUUUCUGUAACAAAGAAAAGAAAAGUCACGGCAGGAGAAUUUAAAGAUUUUUCUGCUUGGUGAGAUUUUCCUAAUGCUGCUCUGCAAAAUGAUACGAAAUGUGCUGUGGAGCUUGGAAGCAAGGAAUGCUUAACUUUGAACUUGCCAUUUAUUAAUGAUCUGGAAAAAUCACUUUAACAAAGAAUACGGGAGUGAAGGGUUCAAGGGGCACUGGGCAGAUUCAAAUUCUUUUCUACUUGGUAAAUCACUUUUAACUGGUUCUGCGAGUAUCAGAUGUCAGCUUUUCAUAUUACAGUCCAUUCUGCUGUACUAUAGAAUGAUGGUGUCUGAACUUGUGGAAUGAGUUGAAACCAUUGUUGAACUCCACACCAAUAGGUCAGGAUUGAGGUCCCUUUGUAUCCUUUUAUUAGGUAAGCUCAUAGUAUGCUUACAUGAAUUUUUAGUCCUUUUACAUGAAAACAUGAUUAAUAGGCAAGUAUGCGCUGCGCUCAAGGUCCUCCCCUAGUUUUCCCUCGAAGCUGUAAAUCACAUUCCUAUUGUGGAGUUGUGACCGUUGAACUAUGCAGUUGACUAUAUGCUUUCGUUAUUUGCCUUCCACAUUGAGCUUAUUUUCAAUAUUAAAACUGUGAGUCCAUAUGCCAUUGAUUAGCGGCAUGCCCCACAUUAAAGCUAUUGCCUGUUUUCUCAGGGCUGACCGGCACAGCGGGGAUUAUGGUGCUAAGUUAGCAUUUCUAGAAUGUGGACAUGGUGCUGCUAUCGUACGACAAAACACAAUAGAAAGACAGUGGGAAAUAGAACAUCGUAAAAUCUAUCUGAGCUCUGAGGUUUGUGCAUUUUAAUAGAGAACAGAGAAAGAAAUCCUGGGCUAAGUCCAUUUGACACUCAUUUUGUCAGACACCUUACUAUUGCAUUUCUAAAGAACUUCUUAUGUUCUUUCCACUGUGCUAUCCACUAAAAAAUCUUUGCUCACUGCUGUGCAUCAAGGACAAGAGAAGACAAUAUGAUUAUAUGGCAGCUGGAUAAAAGCCAUCACACAUUGGUGGCCCACCAGCUGUGGAAUUCUCGACCAAACAGGUCAGUUUGAUCAUUUAGUGCGAACAGAGUUUUGGAUGUUUCCAGUUGACGUUUUCUUCCCCGUAUUAGUGACCCCCUGUACAAAGCAAAAACACUUCUGAGAAUGAAUGGCUUUUCUAACUCGUAGAGCAGCUAGAAGUAGCCAUUUCUGGACCACUUCUAUUUGUGA